GCCUUGGUGGUGUAGUGGUAGAGCACGCGUCCCCGGACAGGAUGAAACGCGGGUUCGAUUCCCGCGUAAGGCC